ACAUGUGGUGCCUUAUGCCAAUCUUCAAUAUAUUAUUAUCUGUUAAUAUUACCUUAUGUCACAUACGAAUCCACAAAAACGCAAUUACAGACAAAGAGCUCAUUCGAAUCCUAUUUCAUAUCGUUCUUUAUAUCAUCCAAUUAGGCCACAAUCACUAAAUUUAGGCGCGCUUUACGCUGAAAGUAAUUUAGAUAAAAAAAUAGAAUUUGUUGAUAUAGGUUGUGGCUAUGGAGGACUCUUAACACAUUUAUCUCCUAUCUUUCCUAAUGUCUUAAUGUUGGGAUUAGAAAUAAGAACAAAGGUUUCUGAUUUUGUUAUUGAUACUAUUAAGAGUUUGAGAGAAUAUAAUGAAAUAAGUCAUGCUUAUGGAAAUAUUGCCUGUAUUAGAACUAAUGCCAUGAAAUAUUUACCUAAUUUUUUUGAUAAAAAGCAGGUUAAAAAGUUAUUUAUACUUUUUCCAGAUCCUCAUUUUAAAAAAUCAAAGCACAAAUGGAGAUUUGUUAGUGAAACAAUGAUUGCUGAAAUUGCAUAUAUUCUCCACGAAGAUGGCCUGGUUUAUUCUAUAACUGAUGUUUUUGAUAUGCAUGAAUGGAUUUCAAAACAUUUUAACGAACAUCCCCUUUUUGCAAAACUUUCAAAUGAUGAAAAAUGAUAACCUUUAUUAAAAACUAAAGACCUGAUGCCAUAAAAUUUUAAAUAUCUAGACCAGGGCUGAGAACUUAAACCCCCCAAGAUUUCACUGAUGAGCCAAACCCAUCUAUAAAUUUGAGGGUUCAAGAAUAUUUUUUUUCCUCAAUAUUUAAACAUUUUUUUGUGAAAAUCUUGUGGAAUCAUUUAUAUUUUAUAUCUAGAAUAUAUAUAAAAGUAAUGUCACACUCACAGUCACAAUUUUUUAAUAUAUUUUUAAAAAAUCGUAAAUUUUGAAAGGCAUCUGUGGCCUAAUCGGCAAGAGUUACAAAUCUGAUGGCUUUGAAUUCAAAUCCCAACAAAGAUCAUUUUUUUUUCUUAAUCCAACUUGGUGGUUCCAUCUUUUGGGAUGGGCAUUAACUAAUUGUGCCUGAAAAUGUUAUUUGCAGACCUCUGGUGUUAAAUGCAUGGGAAAAUAAAAGUGGUCGAUACAUAUCAUUUAUAAAGGAUUUUUUGGCAGAGGUAAAAUCCAUUAUGAUCUACUGUUUCCAGUCUGCAUUGGUAAAGUUUUGGUG